UUUGAUGGAGGGUUUGAUCCUGGCUCAGGACGAACGCUGGCGGCGUGCUUAACACAUGCAAGUCGAACGGUAAGGCUCCAGCUUGCUGGGGUACAC
rnacentral:rRNA from 1 species